rnacentral:rRNA from 1 species
UACGUAGGCAGCAAGCGUUGUUCGGAGUUACUGGGCGUAAAGGGUGUGUAGGCGGUUCCUUAAGUUUGCUGUGAAAUCUCCCGGCUUAACCGGGAGGGUGCGGUGAAUACUGUGGGACUAGAGUACGGGAGAGGAAAGUGGAAUUCCUGGUGUAGCGGUGAAAUGCGUAGAUAUCAGGAGGAACACCGGUGGUGUAGACGGCUUUCUGGACCGUAACUGACGCUGAGACACGAAAGCGUGGGUAGCAAACAGG